ensembl:lncRNA
CUACAGCUUGUGGAGUCCUGAGAAUCACGAGGUCAGCACAGAGGUGUUUGUGAUGGCUGCAGGAUUUAGUAGCUACGGCAGAAAGUCACAGAAUUUAAACAUUAGUAAUUCUGAUGGAAGCGUCUGUUGAUGAUUUUAGCUAUGCUUGCAGAAAAGUAUACCCAAAGACAUACAGAACAACCAUGUGCAGAUUAAGAAGAUGACAAAGGAAUAAUGGCACGGAAAGAAUGAAGGUCUAUGAACUUAGGCACUUUCUAGUAUUGUAGAGACAGCAAUUGGUUGUCUCCUAAUCCUUUGGGUUGGUUACAGUUAUUUCUCCAUCACUGUAGUUUGCUCCUUUUCUCACCAAAGGAUUUCAUCUUGGGAAGGCUGUUGUACCCCUUCCUGGCGAUUCAGGUGUGAGACAGCAAUCUGCUAAAUAUCAGUUUUAUUGUCUUCCAAGUGAGCCGCCUAAAGGACACUCCGGACUCACGUAAGUGCCUCCAGAGCUGUUCUCCAGCUCCCCAAAUAGGUACACAGACAAGCCUGGACGCCGCCAGCCAUCGUUUCAGACAUUAUGUAGUUCAGCUUUUUCUGUGAUGGAAACACUUCUUGUGUCUGCAUCUCCUCCUUCCAAUGCUCUGAGGAACUGAGGCCAGCCAAAAACAAGAAGCAACCACUUGCAGCUCAGCUGAGACAUUUGGACAUUCUGAAAACUCAGUAGGUGUGGAGCAAUAACUUACUGCUCUGCCACACCUCAAGUAUGUCCCAUCUCCUAUAGAAUUUAUUUGUCUUUGGCCAAAUUUUAGCAGCUCAGCUGUGGGACCCCAGCAGGUUGGCUUGCAUCCUCUGGACCAGAAGGUUUCUUCUAACUUCAUUUAAGCCAGUAAUUUUUUCACAUGGGAGUCAUGAAAUUCAUUGCUUUGUGAUGUGCUUCUGACUCCAGGAAGCCCCAGAGCUAUGGGAGUAUGAAGACAGCUGUUAGUCUAGCAGAAACUGCCAGGUUUGCGAAGACCUUGUGAUGGACCCAGAACAUCAGCAGAAGUAGAGAGCCCUGGGGGAAGAACAGACCUUAGUGCAAGUCAGACUGAAAGGAGAGCAAAUGGAAGCAGAGGAAGAAGAGGACGAACAGCUAAAAAGUCUCACUCUGAGCCAAAGAGAUCAGCUGGAGAGCUGCUUGUUUGUGCAGGGUGAUAGCUGAGCUGGAUUAGGGCUUCACUGAAGCAAGUAGGAGGCAGGAGAUUACAGAAAGAUGUGGUCAACCUGGGAAGGAAAGGUGUUGAAUGCAGAGCUGUGCCAAGUGAGAGUGUAGUACAAACUUCAGAAACUAAGACAGGCAUUCUUAGAAGUGUAGCAUUAAUUGCCAUUUUGAUCCUCUUCAUUCCUAUGGUGCUUACAGCUGCACUGACGGAAUAAUGCAUAAUAUUGCCUGAGCGCAGAGUUUGUAUUCUUGAUAUAAACCGGUCUGGUAUCAGGUUCAUGCUGGGAGGUGUGAACAGCAUCAGAAAUUCCAGUCUGAGCAAUCUACUUGUAUUCCUAAGCAGAAUAGAUACAUUCAGAGCAAGUGCCAUUUCCAUCCCCUGCUGCCCUACAACACAAUGGAUGUCACUCACCAUGCAACCCAGGGCGAAGCUGCCCACCACUUCCUCCCCUGGCUCAUCACCUCCCAGUCCCGAUUCAUUUUCCAUCCUGUAAUAUUCAG